GGCUAGAUAACAUAAUGGUAAUGUAAAGGACUGCAAAUCCUUUAAUGACGGUUCGAAUCCGUCUCUAGCUU
rfam:Phytophthora nicotianae strain race 0 contig1459, whole genome shotgun sequence.